rnacentral:rRNA from 1 species
UACGUAGGGUGCGAGCGUUGUCCGGAAUUAUUGGGCGUAAAGGGCUCGUAGGCGGUUUGUCGCGUCGGGAGUGAAAACCUCGGGCUUAACUCGGGGCUUGCUUUCGAUACGGGCAGACUAGAGGUAUGCAGGGGAGAACGGAAUUCCUGGUGUAGCGGUGGAAUGCGCAGAUAUCAGGAGGAACACCGAUGGCGAAGGCAGUUCUCUGGGCCGUAACUGACGCUGAGGAGCGAAAGCGUGGGGAGCGAACAGG